AUUGAACGCUGGCGGCAUGCCUUACACAUGCCAGUCGAACGGUAACAGGUCUUCGGAUGCUGACGAGUGGCGAACGGGUGAGUAAUACAUCGGAACGUGCCCAGACGUGGGGGAUAACGAGGCGAAAGCUUUGCUAAUACCGCAUACGAUCUAAGGAUGAAAGCAGGGGACCGCAAGGCCUUGUGCGUUUGGAGCGGCCGAUGGCAGAUUAGGUAGUUGGUGGGAUAAAAGCUUACCAAGCCGACGAUCUGUAGCUGGUCUGAGAGGACGACCAUCCACACUGGGACUGAGACACGGCCCAGACUCCUACGGGAGGCAGCAGUGGGGAAUUUUGGACAAUGGGCGAAAGCCUGAUCCAGCAAUGCCGCGUGCAGGAUGAAGGCCUUCGGGUUGUAAACUGCUUUUGUACGGAACGAAAAGGCUCUGGCUAAUACCUGGGGCACAUGACGGUACCGUAAGAAUAAGCACCGGCUAACUACGUG
rnacentral:rRNA from 1 species